GUCUUGCGCCAGGCGACUGGGUCUGAGGAGGCAGGAGUUAUUCAUUCCCUUAAGCUUUCAGGCCGGGGGGAGAAUCUUUCAGGUGGUAGCUGCAAGAACUCUUAGUAUGUUGACCUCACCUCUGCCUUCCACAUACCACUACCAGUGAGGAAUUAGGAAUGCAUGAGAAGAGUGUCCAAGAAGAGUGUCCUCAUUCAUGCAAGGCUUAAGAGAGAAUGCAGGUCAACAUCACCAUGUCAAUCAGAGGUUGAAGUUGGAGACCAAAUCGUGUACCUCGCUCUCCUGGCACAGGAAAUUGUGUCCAAUGAGGGAUAUUAAAACUGUUAAACCACAAGCACCAGCCAGUCAGGAGAGAAACCCAGGCUGCCAGAACACAUGCUGGAAAUGAACCACUGGCAUCGCCUUGCCAGAGUGUAGCAGUUGAAUGUGGCCUUAAAUGCACUCAUGCUGCUAGUGCAUUUGGUAUGCUUUUAAUCACAUAGUUGUCUUAGAUAGGGACUAGUCGAGUCCAUCACAUGUACUUUUAAUGUCUAUCAAUUAAGCAUAUAUAAAGCAAAGGAGAACAAGAGAAACAAUUUAAUAAAGCUAGUGAAUACACUCCCCAGUCUAUUUAACUCUGUGCUCCAGAGGGAAUGUAGGAUGGGAAAUGAGAAUUUGCUGUUUCUUCAGUUGGUCUUUGUUCCUGCAUUUCACCCAAAGACUGAGCAGUUCCCCCUAUCUGCUGCGGUUCUAACACUGAAAGAGGUAUAUUGGUCUUCUAACAUGGUCCUUAAAUGUAAGUAAGCUAUAAUGUGAACUUGAAAAGCAACCAUCUGUUUCAAUAUUGUAGGAAAAAUGGUCUGUGAUGGGUUUACUGGGAGAUGGGUUGUGAGUAGUUGACAUGACACUCUAAAAAGAUAAUUUUGGCCAUUUGUAAAUUGCACUUCAUGUGCCGCCUUUAGAGCUCAACUCCUGUGUAAGUUGCCACUUCACUAUGUUUGCAUCUUGUACCUGGCCAACCAGUGCACCUUCAAUUUAGAAAGUAUCAUGAAGCCGCCUUCUAGGAAGAUGAAAGUCAAUGUAAAACCAUGCAAAAGGAUCCCCUUCUUAAAGUCACCAUUGAUUUUAGAGAUUUCUAGGCCCAAUAAGCCCCACAUUUUAUCAUUUCAUCUCUUUACACUAUAGUAAGCCCAGAUAAUCUUAUAUUUCAAAGGGUUUCUAGCAUUGUGUCCAUAGAGUAGAAAUAAUAUAGAUGUGUGUUUGACAUCUGAAUCAUCCAUUUCACAUCUUCCAAAUACACCUCUUAGUCCCUUAACAUCUGGGUUUUCCACUUGCCAAAAAAAAAAAAAAAUCCAAAAUUAUGUA
ensembl:lncRNA LINC01524 long intergenic non-protein coding RNA 1524